rnacentral:rRNA from 1 species
GAUGAACGCUAGCGGCAGGCCUAAUACAUGCAAGUCGAGGGGUAGUGGUUGCUUGCAGCCAUGAGACCGGCGCACGGGUGCGUAACGCGUAUGCAACCUACCUUCAUCUGGGGGAUAGCCCGGAGAAAUCCGGAUUAAUACCGCAUAAAAUCACAGUACGGCAUCGUACAAUGAUCAAACAUUUAUGGGAUGGAGAUGGGCAUGCGUGUCAUUAGUUAGUUGGCGGGGUAACGGCCCACCAAGACCGCGAUGACUAGGGGAUCUGAGAGGAUGAACCCCCACACUGGUACUGAGACACGGACCAGACUCCUACGGGAGGCAGCAGUAAGGAAUAUUGGUCAAGGGGCGCAAGCCUGAACCAGCCAUGCCGCGUGCAGGAAGACGGCCCUCUGGGUUGUAAACUGCUUUUAUUCGGGAAUAAACCUGCUUACGUGUAAGUAGCUGAAUGUACCGAAGGAAUAAGGAUCGGCUAACUCCGUGCCAGCCGCCGCAGUAACAC